AGCGGCCGUCGGUGCAGAUC
rnacentral:snRNA from 1 species